rnacentral:lncRNA from 1 species
CAAAAAGAAAAGGAAUGAGCACCUUAUGCUGUAUGUUCCUCCUCAAAUGGGUUAUCCUGCAUCCAACUACUUCAACUGACACCGGCAAAACCCACUGGACUUGCAAUGCCUGGAGGUACCAUUUCCGUCCUGUUGAAACCCAGACCUGCCUGGAGGUCCUAGUGACCUGAACAGAAAACAGACAUGGAAUUGGAACAAAUGCCUCCUUCAGAAAAGGUGGCCCUGGACUUUGAUUUGAGCCCAGUAGUACCCGGAAGGAGAAAUCUUGAAGGCUUCUGAAUUCGGCUAUUCCAUCUCAGGACCAGCAACUUGACUCCUCAAAGCCCUCAGAAUCCCAGAGAGCAGGGAGGCACAUAUUUUUCCAAGCCCAGUAGCACAUAUUCCAACUAUCCACAUAGUCAUUUAUUCAUUCAAUAAACAUUUAUCAAACUGCUAUUUGCUGCC